GACGAACGCUGGCGGCGUGCCUAAUACAUGCAAGUUGAGCGCUGAAGGUUGGUACUUGUACCAACUGGAUGAGCAGCGAACGGGUGAGUAACGCGUGGGGAAUCUGCCUUUGAGCGGGGGACAACAUUUGGAAACGAAUGCUAAUGCCGCAUAAAAACUUUAAACACAAGUUUUAAGUUUGAAAGAUGCAAUUGCAUCACUCAAAGAUGAUCCCUCGUUGUAUUAGCUAGUUGGUGAGGUAAAGGCUCACCAAGGCGAUGAUACAUAGCCGACCUGAGAGGGUGAUCGGCCACAUUGGGACUGAGACACGGCCCAAACUCCUACGGGAGGCAGCAGUAGGGGAUCUUCGGCAAUGGACGAAAGUCUGACCGAGCAACGCCGCGUGAGUGAAGAAGGUUUUCGGAUCGUAAAACUCUGUUGGUAGAGAAGAACGUUGGUGAGAGUGGAAAGCUCAUCAAGUGACGGUAACUACCCAGAAAGGGACGGCUAACUACGUG
rnacentral:rRNA from 1 species